rnacentral:rRNA from 1 species
GGGUUAACGCUGGCGGCGUGCCUAACACAUGCAAGUCGAACGGUUCUAAGCGCGAGCUUAGGAUAGUGGCGAACGGGUGAGUAAAAGGUAGGAAUCUACCCCUUGGACGGAGAUAGCUACUGGAAACGGUAGGUAAACUUCGAUAAGCCCGAGAGGGGAAAGUGGUGAGACAGCCGAGGGAUGAGCCUACUCUCCAUCAGGUAGUUGGUGAGAUAAAAGCUUACCAAGCCGAUGACGGAUAACCGGUGUGAGAGCAUGAACGGUCACAAGGGCACUGAGAGACGGGCCCUACUCCUACGGGAGGCAGCAGUGGGGAAUCUUGGACAAUGGGCGAAAGCCUGAUCCAGCGACGCCGCGUGGAGGAAGAAGUCCUUCGGGAUGUAAACUCCUGGACUGGGGGACGAGAAAGGACGGUACCCCAGUAGAAAGGGACGGCUAACUACGUGCCAGCAGCCGCGGUAAAACGUAGGUCCCGAGCGUUGUUCGGAUUCACUGGGUGUAAAGGGCGCGUAGGUGGUUGUCUGUGUCUCAUGUGAAAACUCAGGGCUCAACUCUGAGAUUGCGUGGGAAACUAGGCAGCUAGAGGACGGUAGAGGGGAGUGGAAUUCCCGGUGUAGCGGUAAAAUGCGUAGAUAUCGGGAGGAACACCGGUGGCGAAGGCGGCUCUCUGGGCCGAUCCUGACGCUGAGGCGCGAAAGCUAGGGGAGCGAACCGGAUUAGAUACCCGGGUAGUCCUAGCCGUAAACGAUGGGUGCUAAGUGUUGGGGGGGUAAAGACCCUUCAGUGCCGAAGCCAACGCGAUAAGCAUCCCACCUGGGGAGUACGGCCGCAAGGUUGAAACUCAAAGGAAUUGGCGGGGGUCCGCACAAGCGGCGGAGCAUGUGGUUUAAUUCGAUGCUGCCCGAAGAACCUUACCAGGGUUUGACAUGCUGGUGGUAGGAACCUGAAAGGGGGACGACCCAACCGUAAGGGAGGGAGCCAGCACAGGUGUUGCAUGGCUGUCGUCAGCUCGUGCCGUGAGGUGUCGGCUUAAGUGCCGUAACGAGCGCAACCCUCAUCCCUAAUUGCUCCUGGCAGGUAAAAGGGUCAGAGCACAAUAGGGAGACCGCUGGCGAAGAGCCAGAGGAAGGGGAGGAUGACGUCAAGUCAGCAUGGCCUUUAUGCCCUGGGCUACACACAUGCUACAAUGCAGGGUACAACGGGAAGCGAAGCCGCGAGGUGGAGCAAAUCCCCAAAAGCCCUGCUCAGUUCGGAUCGCACGCUGCAAUUCGCGUGCGUGAAGUCGGAGUCGCUAGUAACCGUGGAUCAGCAAAGCCGCGGUGAAUACGUUCUCGGGCCU